rnacentral:lncRNA from 15 species
AUGUUCUUCCUGUUAUCAGCAUGUGUUGAGUGCACUAACAGCAUGUCUCUCUCUCUCUCUGUGUGUCUCUGUCUCUGUCUGUCUCUCUGUCUGUCUGUCUGUCUCUCUCUCUCUCUCUCUCUGUCUUUCUCUCUCUCUGUCUGUCUCUCUCUCUGUCUUUCUCUCUCUCUCUCUCUCUCUCUCUCUCUCUGUAGGAUUGAUAAAUCUACAGUCAGCGCUCUGAGAGCUCGAUUGACACUUUAUCAUCUGUCCAUCAGCUCUCUCUCUCUCUGUACAUCCUCUAUGUCUCUCUCUCUUUACUGUCUCAGCUGUACGAUGACGUCAGUCUCAGCUUCAGCUUUGUGUACAGUAGAAAUGUGAAAGGAUUUAAAUGUGACUCACUGAUUUCCUUCAGGGAGUCCUUUUCUAUCACUGAGUAAACUGACUCAGUGACAUAUUUUACAGACUUAAUAGGCUUCUUUAUUGACAGAUUCAUUGUUUUCCAUCAGCUCUGUGGCUGUUUUCUAAUGCAGGAGUGAAGGCUCUGUCAAUAUAAACUCUUUUAUAUAUAUUUCUGUACAGUAGGGCUGCCCCCGACGAAAGAUUUUCCUAGUCGACUCGCAGUCGUAAUAUAAAGCCAACAGUGGAUUCAUCGUAGCUCGUUUAUGAUUGUGAAUCAGAACAAGCAGCGAGGGGACUGAACCUUCAGUUCAUUUAUUCCAACACAGUGAAACAUCACACAGUCUGGUUGUUCAACACACGGAAUAAAUAACUUCCAACUUCACUGAAACUGAAAAAUCCAUACGAUGGAUGAUGGAUAACGUUAACAUUUACUGACUAAUUAACUGGCUACAAACUGGCUCCUCUUCCUCCUCUUCCUCUCCUGUCGCUGCCUGAACCUGCCGGGUCUUCAUCCCCAGAGUCAGAGUCCUGGUUGGAGCCGCUGGACAUCAGCUUGCCUCGGUCAGUCCGCCCCGCUCCGGUUCUGUGGCUCAUUCGGGCCCUGCUCCAGUUCUGUGGCUCAUUCGGGCCUCAGCAGUAUUCCCCGCUGGGUCCCUCUGCUGCUACACUAGCAGUGUUUAAACUCCCCCGUCCUUCCAGCUCCCUGUCUGGGUACAGACAGCUAAUAGGACCGCUAACUAGCUAACAGCAGCUAGUACAGUUAGCAUAUGCAGCAGUGCAGCAGUCAGAGACUUCCUGUGUUACAAGAGAGAGAGAAAAGGUCCGUGUUGCAACAAUCCUCUGAUACUUUGGUCCCGGGAUGAGGAGCAGCUCCUGAACACAGUCUAACGUUGGUUUGGUUUCACUGAGACUGACUGAGGGAAUGUGUUCAGUCCACCAUUAGGGGGCAGCACUAUUGUACGGUGACAAUAAAGUUGAUUUUCUUACACUGUUUUUGGCAUAUGUGAAUGAUCUGACUGGAGAGUUGAUGUUAAAGGGUUAAAAUGAUAUUUUUCAUUUCAUCCUGAUGGACAAGAGUCGUAAUCACUUCGGCCGCUAGAGGGCGCUGUCGGUUGAACGUAAACUGAUGAAGGACAACAUCCUCUGGUUCACAUUGGUUUCAGUCUACAUUCCUUCACUGUACAAAUACAAAUCCCAACUGUUGGCAGCGUCCUUCUCCUCUCUCCGCUCUGCUGUCCCUCUUUUCCUCCAUCUGCCUCCCUCUCUCUCUCUCUCCCUCUCUCUCUCUCUCUCUCUCUCUCUCUCUGUGAGCGUCUAAGGCGCUAUAAUCCUGAUGGUCCCUGGCGUUAUGAAAGAGAGAGAGAGGGGGGGGGGUGCUGGUGUAUAGGAUUUGAGAGAGGGAGAGAUGCUCAGUAACCGACAGCAACGCAACAAUGCCGCACGACCACGGGUGAGUCUGGCAUAUCCUCUCAUCCUCCAUCUGUGUGUGUGUGUGUGUGUGUGUGAGAUGAUAUUUGAUGCAUUUAUGUGACAUUAUAGACGAUGCGUUCAGGUGUUGUUGUUAUUGAACAGUAAUGAUCAGUUUGUAACUAAUGUGUGUGUGUGUGUGUGUGUGUGUGUGUGUGUGUGUGUGUGUGUGUGUGUGUGUGUAACCGCCCUCUGAAACAGCUCCUGUGUCCGUCUCAACUCUUCAUUUGAAUUUUUACCCCCCAAAACAAAUUGUAAAGAGCGACAGCAGCGAUGUGACUCCGAUCAGGUGGAAAAUGAAACAUCUGCACGGCAACAUCACAACAUCUGCAAGAUCCAUUAGGAGGAAACAUUCAGGAGUCGAGUUUUUUAAUGAAAGAAACACAGAAACAUUUCAAUUCUAAUUUUGAGUUAAAAAAUGUAAUUCAUUCAAACUGAAUCAGUGAAUCAGUCCUUAAUUUUCACUCCCACAGUCAAGAGUUAUCAAAGACAGACAGACAGACAGAUACAUAGAUAGAUAGACAGACAGAUAAAACAACUGCUGAUAAAAUGACACAUUUUUGAGCAUUGUUUGUUUCUGCAGCGCCGCAUAUUAGUCAGAUCACAUUUCCCCAAAAUGCAUUAAGCCUGGUGUGUGUGUGUGUGUGUGUGUGUGUGUGUGUGCAGCUAAAGGGCAGACACUCCGUCUGUCUAGAAACAGAAGCCAGCAGCGUCUCCUCUCUCCCCGCUGCUGCCGUUGUUGUUUAUGAUGUUGUUUUCGCCACUUUGUCUUUUUUACGCCGUUGUUGAUGUUGGUGACUCAUUUGCCACCCAGCAAAUAUAAUUAGCCUCCAAACCCCCCCCCCCCAAAAAAAACUCAAAACAACACAGAAAAACAAACGUUGGCUGCAGAAGACGUCGCUGCAGGUGGACGACAAACACUGAUUCCUAAAAAGCCAGUAAACACACAGAUUUAUUUGUUUUCAUGUAGAGCAGCAGGAGCCCAGAGCUGUGUGUGUGUGUGUGUGUGUGUGUGUGUGUGUGUAAACAGUAACGUGUCCUCAAAGUUACAACAACGCUCUCUCCAGCGUCUCCCGGAGGCUGCAGUGUUCAUUACAG